rnacentral:lncRNA from 1 species
AGUUGAAGACGACAUAACUGUAAGGAAGACCUGCAUCCUCAUUUUCUACACCAACAACAAACACUCUACUGUAUGGUUUCUUUCUUUCAUUGUAUUUUCUACACCAACAAUAAAGAUGAUGAUGAUUAGAUAUCAUUUCUUAUUUAGUAAACUCAAUGGACAAAGAAUGGAUGAGAUUUCCAAGAGAAAGCCCAGAGUACAUGAAGGGCGUAUUCUUUUUUCUUAAUUAUGCUUAUAACAAAGGAAAACCUGAAGGACUGGAGAUUUUGUGCCCUUGCGCUCAAUGCCACAAUGCUUCUUGGAAAACAGGAGCGAUUGUAUUUGAUCAUUUAAUAGGAAAUGGAUUUGAGAAAGGCUACAAUGUUUGGGAUCGCCAUGGUGAGGGGUUAAGUCCCAUGGAUAUUGAUGGUGAUACAGAUUCUGAAGAGGAUGAACUAGAUAACAUUGAUGAAUUAUUGAAUGAUAGAUUUAGAGAUGUGAUACAAGAGGAGUGUGGAGUUAACAAUGGUCUUAGUGAUGAUGCUAAAAAGUUUUAUAAUCUGAUUGAAGAAGCAAGCCAAGAGUUGUACCCAGAAUGCAAAAAUUUCUCUACAUUAUCUUUCACUAUUCGUCUGUACUUGUUGAAGUGUCUUCAUGGUUGGAGCAAUGCAUCCUUUACUUCUCUGUUAGAGUUGUUGAAAGAAGCUAUGCCUUUAUUAAAUGUUCCUGAUUCAUAUAAUAAAACUAGAGGAAUGAUAAGAGAUUUGGGACUUGAUUAUAGUAAGAUUGACGCAUGUCCUAAUGACUGUAUGCUAUAUUGGAAAGAUCAUAAUAAUGACAUAUCAUGCCAUGUUUGUGGUGCUUCACGGUGGAUUGAAAGUACUACAGAAAGUGGUCAGACUGAGGAAAACAAGAAAGAACACAAAGUCUCUGCAAAAAUAUUAAGACAUUUUCCUUUGAUUCCUAGACUGCAAAGGUUGUUUAUGUGUUCAGAGACAACCACUUCAUUAAGGUGGCAUCAUGAUGAUCGUUCCAAAGAUGGGAAAUUAAGGCAUCCUGCUGAUGGUCAAGCAUGGAAAGACUUCAAUGGUCAUCAUCCUGAAUUUGCUCGUGAUUCACGUAACAUACGACUUGGAUUGGCUAGUGAUGGAUUCAAUCCAUUUAGAGCAAUGAAUUUGAAAUAUAGUGCAUGGCCUGUUAUACUGAUUCCUUAUAAUUUCCCACCAUGGUUGUGUAUGAAGGCUGAGUAUUCUAUGUUACCUUUACUAAUACCUGGGCGAGAUUCACCUGGAAAUAACAUUGAUGUGUACCUCCAACCAUUAAUUGAAGAGUUAAAGGUAUUGUGGAAUUUAGGUGUAGAGACAUAUGAUGCUUCAACAGAUCAAACUUUUCAAAUGCGAGCAGCUCUCUUAUGGACUAUUAGUGACUUUCCUGGGUAUGCUAUGUUGAGUGGAUGGAGUACGAAAGGAUAUAUGGCUUGCCCUUACUGUAAUUAUAACACUAACUCUAUCUAUCUGAGCCAUAGUCGAAAGGUGUGUUAUAUGGAUCAUCGUGUUUUCUUACCUAUGAAUCAUAAAUAUAGAUCAAAUUCAAGGGAUUUUAAUGGGGAAAAAGAAUUCAGGCCUCCACCAGAUUCGCUUGAAGGGGUAGAAAUUUCUGAAAUAUUAGAAACCUACAACAAUGUCUUUGGAAAGAAGCAAAAGAAAAUUAGCAAUGGUCCAUGGAAGAAAAAAUCCAUCUUUUUUGAGUUGCCAUAUUGGAAGCAUAAUACUUUGCGCCAUAAUCUUGAUGUGAUGCACAUAGAGAAAAAUAUUUUCGAUAGUAUUAUCGGAACUUUGUUGGAUAUACCGAGGAUGACAAAAGAUCAUGGAAAGGCUCGUUUGGAUUUACAAGACAUGGGAAUUAGAAAGAAACUUCAUCCGAAGGAGAUCAAUCAAGGGAAGGAUAUAGUUUUUGCAAAAGCAUGUUUCUCUAUGACCACAAAUGAAAAAUCUAUUUUUUGUGGUGUUUUAAAAAAUGCAAAACUACCAGAUGGAUGUGCAUCAAACAUUUCAAGGUGUGUUCAACUUGGCGAAAGAAAAAUUUGUGGCUACAAGACUCAUGAUGCACAUAUUAUGUUACAUUAUUUACUUCAAGUAGCAAUAAGAAGUACAAUGUCUAAUCAAGUUGCUCACCCUUUAAUCCGCCUUUGUUCUUUUUUUCGUUGUUUAUGUAAAAAAGUUAUCGAUUUGAAGGAUCUUGAUAUCUUAGAAUCAGAGAUUGCAGAAACUCCUUGCCAACUAGAGACAAUUUUUCCUCCGAGUUUCUUUGAUAUAAUGGUUCAUUUGCCUAUACAUCUUGUGAAUGAGGUGAGAAUGGGAGGGCCAAUUCAAUAUAGGUGGAUGUACUCUCCUGAAAGGUAUUUAGGUAAAUUGAAGGGUUACGUUCGUAACAAAAGUCAUCCAGAAGGUUCUAUGGCAGAAGGAUACAUAGUCGAAGAAGGCUUAAUACUAUGCGCAAGGUAUUUGAAUAGUGGUGUAGAGACAAGGCUUAAUCGAAUGCGAAGGAAUAGUGAGAAAUGUCAUCCUUAUGAAGUUGAAGGUUCAUACUUUUUUCCCUAUAUUGGUCAUCCUAUUGGAGGAAAGAAAAAGGGUGAAGCAAUUUAUUUAGAUAGAAAUUCAAAGAAUCAAGCUCACUGUUACAUCUUGUUCAAUUGUGAUGCAGUUCAAAAAUUUAUGAGGUAAACACACUUUGUUGUAGGCUUUAAGUUAGUAGAAUUAUUAAUUAGUAAGUUAUCAAUGAUUUUUCUAUAUUGCAGAGAGCAUGAAAAUGUAACAAAAAAUCUCAAUAAAAAAAGGAAGUGGAGCAAAGCAAAGAGGCAGGGGAAGGAUUUCAUUGAAUGGUUCAAAAUUCGUACUUGGAUGGAUGAUGUAUCUGAUGAACUUAAAGAGUUGUCAAGAGGACCAAAUGUCGUUGCUAGGAGAUUUUCAGGUUUUGUUAUUAAUGGUUAUAGGUUUCAUACUAAAAAACGUGAUGCAAGAAGGAAAACACAAAAUAGUGGCGUUACAUUGGUGUCGAUGACCCAAAGCUUUGCAAGCACGAAAGAUGAAAAUCCGAUAACAAAACCAUUAACUUAUUAUGGAUCGAUUAUAGAUAUAAUUGAGGUAGAUUGUUGUGGAAAGUUGGUGUUAUUUAGAUGUGAUUGGUAUGAAGUUGAAGACAAAAAAAAGUAUGGGAUGACUUGUGUCCAGUUUAAUAAAAGAUGUUAUAAAGUUGAUCCUUUUGUGUUGGCCUCUCAAGUCCACCAAUGCUUCUACGUUCAAGAUCCCUACAAUGAAAAUAGGAAUUAUGUUAUGAGUACUGUUCCUAGAGACUUCUUUAAUAUGAAAGAAGGGUCAAAUUUAAAUGCCCAAGAACCCUAUCAAAGUCAACCAUUAGAUCAUGUUAUAAAUUUAACCAUAGCUGAUGAAAAUGGUGAAGUUGAACUGUCCAGAGAUGAUAUGCCACCAACAAUUACUGAAAAGCCUGUACUAGUGCCAAAUGAUGAAGAGUCCGAUUCUGACGACUCUUUGUCGGGCUACAUUGAUUAAUACUCUUGGAAGACUUAUUUAUAUAACCUGGUAGGUAUAUAGAUAAUUUUGUUUGUAGCCCUUAUCCAAUUUGAUAACUGCCUUUCAUUUAUUCUCUUUUUAUAUGCUUUAUAUGUAUGUAUUGUGUUUGUAUUGAUUCACAGGUUGAAUUUUUGUCAUGAUGAAAGCAAAUAAAGGACAAAAAGACAAGAAUUGGAGAAAAGAAUAAAAAAAGAAAUAAGGGACAACAUGCUGAUAUUGAGACUCAUGUUAAAUUGAAUAAUAAUGGUAUAUAACGUUUUAUGCUUCUGCAAUUUUCAUAAUGUAAAUUUGUUUGUAUACUCAAAUCAUUUUUUUGCUCUUGAUAGAGAUUAAUAAGUCUAGAGAUGAUGUUUACAUCAGUUCCCAACUCAAACAGCCUAUGCUACCUUCUAGAGGAGAACCACCGUAAGUUCAAUUGACUGUUUAUAAAUAUUUUGCUUAUAUAAUUUUUCAUUUAGCUAUUAGAAGUUUUAAUUAUAACUUUACUUUUCCCAAUUGAUAAAGGUUAGUAGAUAUUCCAGAAAAUAUAGAGUCCAAUGCUGAAAUGUAUCAAAAGUUCAAAGCUUGGUUGGAAAAUUUUUCAAAGCAGGGGCAAAUUUCAAUUAAAGGUCAAAAGAAGCAAAAACCAUCGACAACUAGAAUUUCGAUCCAAGAGGCAGAAUCUGCUCAAAUAGAACAUAAAAAGCAGGAUCACAUGAAACAAUCACAUGUUCAACAAGGUCUUUUAUUAGUUAUCUAUUUGUGUCAGUAUUUAAAUCAAAAUUCAAAAUGCUAAUUAUACUCUUGAUACUGACUUGAACUAAAUAUUUAUUUGUUUCAUGUGUCUAAAAGCCAAACUAGUGGAAGGCUCUAUGAUGAAUGGAUUAAACAACAAAGUUUCUGCUCAAAUCAAAAAGGACCUUGUUAAUCACGGACCACCCAAGAAGCAAAAGAAUACUCUGAAGCGUAAAUGGUACAUCAAAUGCAAUUUAUAGGAACUGACAAUGUCAUGAUGUAGAUUUUUUUACCUGUCUUUUAUUUGGCUGAUGUGAGUACUUUAUUAACUAGUGGACGGCUCUAUGAUGAAUGGAUUAAGGAACAAAGUUUCUGCUGAACACAAAACGGACCUUGUUAAUCACAGACCAUCCAAGAAGCAAAAGAUUACUCCAAAGUGUAAGUACUACAUCAAAUGCACAUGAUAUGGAAACUAACAAAACAUGUGACCAUUGUUUUCCUUACUUUCUCACAUUUAGUUUUGUCGAAUUCUAUGUAAAGUGAAAAUGUCAUGAUGCAGUUUUUUGUUUUUACUUGUAUUGUGCUUUACUGAUGUGAGUAUUUUAUUAACUAGUGGACGACUCUAUGAUGAAUGGAUUAAGCAACAAAGUUUAUGCUCAAAUCAAAAAGGAACUUGUUGAUCACGGACCAUCCAAGAAGCAAAAGAAUACUUUGAAGCGUAAGUGCUACAUCAAAUGCAGUUUAUAGGAACUAACAAAACAUGUGACAAUUUUUUCCCAAUUUUCUCACAUUUAUUUUUGGCGAAUUCUAUGUUAACUGACAAUGUCAUGAUGUAGUUUUUUUUACCUGUCUUUUAUUUGGCUGAUGUGAGUACUUUAUUAACUAGUGGACGGCUCUAUGAUGAAUGGAUUAAGGAACAAAGUUUCUGCUGAACACAAAAUGGACCUUGUUAAUCACAGACCAUCCAAGAAGCAAAAGAUUACUCCAAAGUGUAAGUGCUACAUCAAAUGCACAUGCUAUGGAAACUAACAAAACAUGCGACCAUUGUUUUCCUUAUUUUCUCACAUUUAGUUUUAUCGAAUUCUAUUUAAAGUGAUAAUGUCAUGAUGCAGUUUUUUGUUUUUACUUGUAUUGUACUUUACUGAUGUGAGUAUUUUAUUAACUAGUGGACCAAUCUAUGUUCGAUGGAUUAAGCAACAACUUUUCUGCUCAAGUCCAAAAGGACCUUGGUGAUGAUGGACCAUCGAAAAAGCAAAAGAGUACUCCAAAGAUUCCUUCAAUGUCACUUGAUGAGUACUUUAAAAGGAGUAGGGAGCAACUUGAAGCAGAGGAGUCUGAAAAUGAAGAACUUGACAGGGAACAAGAAGUUGAGGGUGAGAUAAACUAUGAAAAUGGUGAUGGUGAUAAUUCAAUGGAAGGUAACACUCCUACUAGUUUGACUUUCCCUUGCUUCUCUUAUAUAUGUGUAUAUAUAUGUAUAACUCUUGUGAUAUUGGAAUGUUAACCAGGAGAAGCAUCAAAAAAAAAAAAAAAGGAAGCACAUUGUGCUUAAAAAUUCAUGCUCGGUCACUAGUUGAUAGACAAGAAAUCACCUUAAAUGAAGAAGGAGAGGCCAUUGGACCAAGUCAAAAGAUAGUUUCUGAAUUCAGCAAUUUUUUGGGAUCAGUAGCAAGGAUGUCAGAUUUAUGUCCUCUUACUUACACAAAUUGGAAGGCUAUACCAAAGAAGAAGACUAUAUGGGCCUAUGUCAAUGUAUCAACUCUUCUAGUGUGUGUGUGUGUGUGUUUGAGUACAUUGUUCCUUCACUUAAUCCUUAAUCCAAUAUAUUUAUCUGUAUACGUUCAUUUUCUUUGCAGAAAAGAUACAUUGUUCCAGAAAAAGGACAGAAGGAUGUAUUUGCUAUUAUAAAUGAUGCUUGGAGGAGGUAUAAAUGGUUGAUUAAGAAAAAUCAUUUUACUAAGUAUAGAAACUUGCGUGAGCGGCUGAAAAACCGUCCAGACAGCAUACCUGAAGCACACUUUAAGAAAUUAAUGACUUAUUGGAGUUAUGAAGCUAUUCGAGUAAGAUUAAUUUAAUUUUAAUUGUUUACUAUUCUACAUUAUUAUUUUCAUAUUUGAUCAAUUUAGUUCAUCAUAUGAAUACAGGAAAUCAGUCAUCAAAAUGCUAAGAAUAUAGAUAAACAAAAAUGGAGACAUCGAACGGGUCCCAUAAGCUUUGCUGUCAUAAGGGAAAGAUUGGUAUAUAACUUUUACUAUUAUUAGCGAAUAAUUAAAUUCUUCUAUUAGUGAUAAUUUUUAUACUAUUAGAGAAUAAUUUUUUGCUUUGGAUAGCGUGCAACCAAGGAUGAUAGAGAGCCUCCAACUCAAGCUGAAGUUUUUAUUGAAACACGACAAAGCAAGAGAGGAAAGCAGCUGGACCAAGUUACAAGUGAUGCAAUCGUAAGUUUUUUCUUUAUGAUUUUACCAAGUUAGUUAUUGGCAAAAACUGAAAUAAAAAUAAUCAUGAUUUUAUCCUCAAAAAUGACUUUACGUAGUCAGCUAAUGUUGUUUUUGAUUUUGCAAGACAACUCUUCAAGAUUUGAUCACAAAUUCUGGUCAUUCUUCGGUUGAAGCUUUUCAAACUGUCUUUGGAAAAGAAAAACCAGGGAGAUUGCGCUGCUAUGGAAGAGUUACAACAUCUUCUCUGUUGAAAAGAAAUAAAGUGGAAGCUAUGGAAAAAAAGCAUGCUGCUGAGGUGAAAAGUUUAACUGACAAGGUCCAAGAGAUGGAGACUAUACAUAGAAAGGAUAUGGCUGCAAUGGAAGAAAAAUUGCAAGUUCUUCUAAGAGUCAUGCUGAACCAAAGCAACACAGGCAUAGAUAUGGGGGAUUUAGGAGUUUUUUUAUCAACCCGAAAUGAUGACAAUAAUGUUCGACAUUCAUCUACAUCUAAUCAUGAGGUAUGUUUUCCGUAUAUUGAAGUGUCGGCUAAUUGUUGCAAUAGAGAUAAACAUCAGUAGGAGUAAUCAAUCUAUAAAUUAUCAUUUUCAUAUAAUAUGUAGAUUUAGUGAGGUAGGCCACUUCAGAUUAUCAUUUUAUUAUUAAGUUCUUGAAGUUGGGUGUCAAUGACUUGAUAAAAUAACUUAACUCCAAAGUGAAAAAUAGAAGUAGAAAAAGUUGAUUGUUUUAAGCUUUAUUUCUCUUUUUUCACUAACCAUUGGAUGCUUCGAUUUCUUUGAUUCUGGAUCAGUCAGUCAUGAAGCUCACAGUGAAGACUCUGAAAGGAAGCCAUUUCAAAAUCAGAGUUCAUCCUUCUGAUUCUGUAUGUUGUACUUCUUUUUUCUCUAUUUUUUUCCUUUCCAAUUCUAUUAAAAUUCUUUGAUUGAAGAAUUCCCAAUAUUCAUUCAAUUUUGUUAGAUAAUGGCUGUAAAAACGAAUAUUGAAGACAUUCAAGGAAAAGAUAAUUACCCAUGCAGACAACAAUUGCUAAUUCACAAUGGAAAAGUUUUGAAAGAUGAAACUAGUUUAGCUGAUAAUGAAGUCUCUGAAGAUGACUUUCUUGUUGUCAUGCUCAAUAAGGUAUGGAUCUCAAAUAUUUCAAGUUAGAAUAUAAUAUGUCAGGGAUGAUGGAACCUUCAUGGGUAGAAACUAUCAGAAUAGUUCUCAUGUGAUACAUGAUCUCACCUCGAAUAGUAGGAGGACGAACAAACAAAGACAAAUUUGAAUAUGAAACAUAAGCAUUUAAAUUAAUAUAAUAUGAGGCCCUUUUUUUGGUAUGCUGUCAAUUGUCUAGCUCUAGUCCUGAUUUGUCCUCGGUUGUGUGAUGGUUUCUGUUUUGCCCCUUAAGUUAGUAUUUGUUGUUCCUGUUUUAUCUGUUUUGGACUGAUUUUCUUUUGGUUUUGUUCCGGUGUUGUAUAACGAUUCUUUGCAGUAGUAAAAAUAAGAUAGUUGGUAUGGUUGAUGUGGUUUUGCGGAUAAGGGGAUUAGUCUUUUUUGAAUGAACUAUUUGCCACAUUGCAACAUUGUGAGUAUAAUAGUGAAUUAAUUUUUAUUUUUAUCUUGUAGGUAAAUAAUAGAUCUAUGGGUAGUGAAUGUGUUGUUGAUAACUACGAAGAAGAGGAAAUCAGACGAAGAGGAUGAAGAAAAAUUCUUUGAUGACUUGGACGGAGAUGAGGAUG